AUUGAACGCUGGCGGCAGGCCUAACACAUGCAAGUCGAGCGGUAGCACAGAGAGCUUGCUCUCGGGUGACGAGCGGCGGACGGGUGAGUAAUGUCUGGGAAACUGCCUGAUGGAGGGGGAUAACUACUGGAAACGGUAGCUAAUACCGCAUAACGUCGCAAGACCAAAGUGGGGGACCUUCGGGCCUCAUGCCAUCAGAUGUGCCCAGGUGGGAUUAGCUAGUAGGUGGGGUAACGGCUCACCUAGGCGACGAUCCCUAGCUGGUCUGAGAGGAUGACCAGCCACACUGGAACUGAGACACGGUCCAGACUCCUACGGGAGGCAGCAGUGGGGAAUAUUGCACAAUGGGCGCAAGCCUGAUGCAGCCAUGCCGCGUGUGUGAAGAAGGCCUUCGGGUUGUAAAGCACUUUCAGCGGGGAAGAAGGCGGUGAGGUUAAUAACCUUGUCGAUUGACGUUACCCGCAGAAGAAGCACCGGCUAACUCCGUGCCAGCAGCCGCGGUAAUACGGAGGGUGCAAGCGUUAAUCGGAAUUACUGGGCGUAAAGCGCACGCAGGCGGUCUGUCAAGUCGGAUGUGAAAUCCCCGGGCUCAACCUGGGAACUGCAUUCGAAACUGGCAGGCUAGAGUCUUGUAGAGGGGGGUAGAAUUCCAGGUGUAGCGGUGAAAUGCGUAGAGAUCUGGAGGAAUACCGGUGGCGAAGGCGGCCCCCUGGACAAAGACUGACGCUCAGGUGCGAAAGCGUGGGGAGCAAACAGGAUUAGAUACCCUGGUAGUCCGCGCCGUAAACGAUGUCGAUUUGGAGGUUGUGCCCUUGAGGCGUGGCUUCCGGAGCUAACGCGUUAAAUCGACCGCCUGGGGAGUACGGCCGCAAGGUUAAAACUCAAAUGAAUUGACGGGGGCCCGCACAAGCGGUGGAGCAUGUGGUUUAAUUCGAUGCAACGCGAAGAACCUUACCUGGUCUUGACAUCCACAGAACUUUCCAGAGAUGGAUUGGUGCCUUCGGGAACUGUGAGACAGGUGCUGCAUGGCUGUCGUCAGCUCGUGUUGUGAAAUGUUGGGUUAAGUCCCGCAACGAGCGCAACCCUUAUCCUUUGUUGCCAGAGGUUAGGCCGGGAACUCAAAGGAGACUGCCAGUGAUAAACUGGAGGAAGGUGGGGAUGACGUCAAGUCAUCAUGGCCCUUACGACCAGGGCUACACACGUGCUACAAUGGCAUAUACAAAGAGAAGCGACCUCGCGAGAGCAAGCGGACCUCAUAAAGUAUGUCGUAGUCCGGAUUGGAGUCUGCAACUCGACUCCAUGAAGUCGGAAUCGCUAGUAAUCGUAGAUCAGAAUGCUACGGUGAAUACGUUCCCGGGCCU
rnacentral:rRNA from 1 species